rnacentral:rRNA from 1 species
AGUCGAACGGCAGCACGGGGCAACCUGGUGGCGAGUGGCGAACGGGUGAGUAAUAUAUCGGAACGUACCCUGGAGUGGGGGAUAACGUAGCGAAAGUUACGCUAAUACCGCAUACGAUCUAAGGAUGAAAGUGGGGGCUUCGCAAGAACCUCAUGCUCCUGGAGCGGCCGAUAUCUGAUUAGCUAGUUGGUGAGGUAAAGGCUCACCAAGGCUUCGAUCAGUAGCUGGUCUGAGAGGACGACCAGCCACACUGGAACUGAGACACGGUCCAGACUCCUACGGGAGGCAGCAGUGGGGAAUUUUGGACAAUGGGCGCAAGCCUGAUCCAGCAAUGCCGCGUGAGUGAAGAAGGCCUUCGGGUUGUAAAGCUCUUUUGUCAGGGAAGAAACGGUGAGGGCUAAUAUCUCUUACUAAUGACGGUACCUGAAGAAUAAGCACCGGCUAACUACGUGCCAGCAGCCGCGGUAAUACGUAGGGUGCAAGCGUUAAUCGGAAUUACUGGGCGUAAAGCGUGCGCAGGCGGUUUUGUAAGUUUGUCGUGAAAGCCCCGGGCUCAACCUGGGAAUUGCGAUGAAGACUGCAAGGCUUGAAUCUGGCAGAGGGGGGUAGAAUUCCACGUGUAGCAGUGAAAUGCGUAGAGAUGUGGAGGAACACCGAUGGCGAAGGCAGCCCCCUGGGUCAAGAUUGACGCUCAUGCACGAAAGCGUGGGGAGCAAACAGGAUUAGAUACCCUGGUAGUCCACGCCCUAAACGAUGUCUACUAGUUGUCGGGUUUUAAUUAACUUGGUAACGCAGCUAACGCGUGAAGUAGACCGCCUGGGGAGUACGGUCGCAAGAUUAAAACUCAAAGGAAUUGAC